rnacentral:rRNA from 1 species
CUAGCGACUUCAGAGUUUGAUCCUGGCUCAGGAUGAACGCUGGCGGCGUGCUUAACACAUUCAAGUCGAACGAAGUAGCAAUACUUAGUGGCGGACGGGUGAGUAACGCGUGAGCAACCUGCCUUUGUGAGGGGGAUAACGUUUGGAAACGAACGCUAAUACCGCAUAAUGCAUAGAAGUCACAUGGCUUUUAUGCCAAAGAUUUAUCGCACAAAGAUGGGCUCGCGUCUAAUUAGAUAGUUGGUGGGGUAACGGCCUACCAAGUCGACGAUUAGUAGCCGGACUGAGAGGUUGAACGGCCACAUUGGAACUGAGAUACGGUCCAG